GACGGAGGAUGCAAGUGUUAUCCGGAAUUAUUGGGCGUAAAGCGUCUGUAGGUAGUCUAAUAAGUUAAUUGAAAAAUCUUGAGGCUCAACCUCAAAAGUGCAAUUAAAACUGUUAAACUAGAGUAUAGUAGAGGUAAAGGGAAUUUCCAGUGAAGCGGUGAAAUGCGUAGAUAUUGGAAAGAACACCUACAGCGAAGGCAUUUUACUGGGCUAUUACUGACACUCAGAGACGAAAGCUAGGGGAGCGAAUGGG
rnacentral:rRNA from 1 species